AACUGCUCAGUAACACGUGGACAACCUGCCCUUAGGACGGGGAUAAACCCGGGAAACUGGGUAUAAUACCCGAUAGGUCUCGAUUGCUGGAAUGCAUCGAGAUUUAAAGCUCCGGCGCCUAAGGAUGGGUCUGCGGCCUAUCAGGUAGUAGUGGGUGUAGCGUACCUACUAGCCUACGACGGGUACGGGUUGUGAGAGCAAGAGCCCGGAGAUGGAUUCUGAGACACGAAUCCAGGCCCUACGGGGUGCAGCAGGCGCGAAAACUUUACAAUGCUGGCAACAGCGAUAAGGGAACCUCGAGUGCCAGGUUACAAAUCUGGCUGUCGAGAUGCCUAAAAAGCAUUUCAUAGCAAGGGCCGGGCAAGACCGGUGCCAGCCGCCGCGGUAACACCGGCGGCUCGAGUGGUAACCGUUAUUAUUGGGUCUAAAGGGUCUGUAGCCGGCCGGAUAAGUCUCUUAAGAAAUCUGGCAGCUUAA
rnacentral:rRNA from 1 species